CUAGACAGGUGGGCCUCGAUCCCACAAAAACUCAGUUAACAGCCAAACACCCAAUCCAGUGGGCUUCUGUCCGCUUCUCCCGCUCAGUAAAACGGGAGA
rnacentral:tRNA from 1 species